CAGUUCCUUCUCUUGUGCGGGCAGGGGCCGGGGAGGGGAGAUCUGUGCAAACUUAGAAAAGGCGUGCAGAUCAGUUAACGGGGACCUUCCCUAUUCAGCUGCGGCACUGUGGUGUUGGCACUGCCCUGGCCAGGAAGUAAGUAAGAGAGUGAGGGCUCACUGGACACUGGCCUGUGUCACUGCAUUGUUCUGAUUGGCCUUCCCAGGCCAAACGCCACAGGGACGGGAAGGUAAGCGGUCUGAAAUGCAGGCACCCACUUCAUUUGCAAACCUCACCUCUGAACUGGAACACAUUGGACCCAUCUCUCUGGCAACCUCCAGGGGUGACCUUCACCUUCCAACUGUCUUCCCCCGGCUCCUGGUCUGCAGGCUGCUGUCCUCAUCGGCCAGGCUGAGAAAGAGAUCUAAGAACAAUCGGGACCAGAUCUUUUCCUCUUCCAAAGGUGAAAUAGCACAUUGGAUAAUAUUACAGGAGCCCUUAAAGAGAGCCAGGAAGACAGAACUCGGGAGAUACGCGUGGGUCUGAGGCAGAUGUGGGCAAAAUGGCAGUGGUGACAUGUUACGAGACCACAGCGCAACACCACGACCAGGAUAGUGACGCUGAUACAGUCGAACUUAGGAUAUUCCCAUCAUUGCCCUGUACAGACACCCCACCUGCUUCCCUCCCAACCUCCCGAACCCCGGCGGCCACUGAGCUGUCCUCCGUUGUUAGCAUCGCAUCUCUUCAAGCACGUUACUGAAGUGAAAUCUACGGGCUGUGGUAACAACCACCACGAAGCGGCGGCUUAGAGCAACAGAGACCUGGGUCUCACCGUUCUCCCAUCUGGAGGCCAGAGGCCGAAAUCAAGGCGUCUGCAGACCCUGCUCUCUCUGAAAGCUGUGGGGACAUCCUUCCUUGCCUCUUCCACCUUCUGUGGCGACCCCUGGCGACCCUUGGCUGACAGCUGCACACGUGUCACACGCGUCCCCCUGGCGAGUCUGCGUCUUCACAUGACGUGUUCAUCUUAAACGUUCCUUUCUUUUCUUUUUUUUUUUUUUUUUUUUUUUUUUUGACAGAGAGAGAGAGUGCGGGAGAGAGCAAGAGGGAG